rnacentral:rRNA from 1 species
AGCGAACGCUGGCGGCAGGCUUAACACAUGCAAGUCGAGCGGGCGUAGCAAUACGUCAGCGGCAGACGGGUGAGUAACGCGUGGGAACAUACCUUUUGGUUCGGAACAACACAGGGAAACUUGUGCUAAUACCGGAUAAGCCCUUACGGGGAAAGAUUUAUCGCCGAAAGAUUGGCCCGCGUCUGAUUAGCUAGUUGGUGAGGUAACGGCUCACCAAGGCGACGAUCAGUAGCUGGCUGAGAGGAUGAUCAGCCACAUUGGGACUGAGACACGGCCCAAACUCCUACGGGAGGCAGCAGUGGGGAAUAUUGGACAAUGGGCGCAAGCCUGAUCCAGCCAUGCCGCGUGAGUGAUGAAGGCCCUAGGGUUGUAAAGCUCUUUUGUGCGGGAAGAUAAUGACGGUACCGCAAGAAUAAGCCCCGGCUAACUUCGUGCCAGCAGCCGCUGUAAC